AAAGUUCGUCUUGUGGUGUUUGCAAACUGUCUCUGUGAGGUCCAUUUGCUGUAGUGUAAACACGACUGUGGCAGGGUGCCUGGUGCCUUCGCAGCAGCUAAUCCUGCUCAGCUGAGGGCCGACCACGUGAGGUAAAGCAGCAGGCCGGGUCUGCACGGUGAACCCAACACCAGUCAGCCCUGGGGCUGAGGGCCUUAGCACGAGGCCUUCACUCCUUCUCCACAGAUAACACAGAGCAGCUCUAACUGUAAGACCAGAUUGAACCCCCCACUGUGCUUUGCAUCAGAUUGUGGUCAGCUGUGGAAGGUUGGGUUAAACACCAGGGCUGUAAUCAUGCAAAAAUGGCUGCACCUGGGGCUGCAGCUGGCCUAUGGCUGCCCUCCCUAGUCUUUAAGUCAGGUCAAGGAAGCAGGCCUAGCCCUGGGCAAGGUGGAGUUUCAGCUCCUCUGCUUUGCAAGAGUGGUGUAGGCUGCAAAGUACGUGAAGCUUUCUCACCAAAUACAGCUGAAAAGGCAGGUGCUGGAGGAGCGGCAGCCGCAGCCCCUCUGCCUCAGAGGCCAUCACAGUCGUUCUGUGCUGCGAGCCUUUGUGUCCACAUCUCAGAACUGGAUAAGGCUUCCUCCAGGAUUCCUCUGCAGGUCAGUGGUAACACUAACCACUAA
rnacentral:lncRNA from 1 species